GACGAACGCUGGCGGCGUGCUUAACACAUGCAAGUCGAACGGAAAGGCCCUGCUUUUGUGGGGUGCUCGAGUGGCGAACGGGUGAGUAACACGUGAGUAACCUGCCCUUGACUUUGGGAUAACUUCAGGAAACUGGGGCUAAUACCGGAUAGGAGCUCCUGCUGCAUGGUGGGGGUUGGAAAGUUUCGGCGGUUGGGGAUGGACUCGCGGCUUAUGAGCUUGUUGGUGGGGUAGUGGCUUACCAAGGCUUUGACGGGUAGCCGGCCUGAGAGGGUGACCGGCGACAUUGGGACUGAGAUACGGACCAGACGCGUACGGGAGGCAGCAGGGGGGAAUAUUGCACAAUGGGCGGGAGCCUGAUGCAGAAACGCCGCGUGCGGGAUGACGGCCUUCGGGUUGUAAACCGCUGUCGCCUGUGACGAAGCGUGAGUGACGGUAAUGGGUAAAGAAGCACCGGCUAACUACGUG
rnacentral:rRNA from 1 species